rnacentral:rRNA from 1 species
UACGGAGGGGGCUAGCGUUGCUCGGAAUCACUGGGCGUAAAGCGCACGUAGGCGGCCAUUCAAGUCAGGGGUGAAAGCCUGUGGCUCAACCACAGAAUUGCCUUUGAUACUGUUUGGCUAGAGACCGGAAGAGGUAAGUGGAACUGCGAGUGUAGAGGUGAAAUUCGUAGAUAUUCGCAAGAACACCGGUGGCGAAGGCGCCAACUGGACCAUUACUGACGCUGAGGCGCGAAAGCGUGGGGAGCAAACAGG